AUAGAUUGUUGGUGUUUUUGUAUGCUUUGAGUCUGAAUCAGGUAGUAGUUUAAUUAGUAUAAAUGCGAAUGUUAGCAAGUGAAAUUGUGGCUUUAAGAGAUAUUAGAAGGAACUUUAUCUUUGUAUAAGGAUUGACUUAUGCCUUUUUUGAGGCACAUGCCUUGGUGCUUGCUUUAUUAUGGCCCAUCUUCUUUGUAUAAUGACCUAAAUUUUUUUUAGAUAUAGAGGCAUGAUAUUUAAACACAAAAUCUACGGACAAAUUUUUGACAACGUAUGGACGUUAGAGUGUGCAUGAAAACCAAUAAAGUGGAUUAUAUUAUUUAAAAAUUGAAAAAAGUGUUUGGACAGUAUAUUUGUCCGGUUUGUGUUCAUAAACUGUGUCAGCAUAACAUUUCUCUUGUAUAUAUUAUUUGUAUAAGUGGUAAGGUGGAAGUCAAUUGAAACGGAUUUCCAUAAAUGAGUUUGAUGUGUGGAUAUUAGGAGUGGGUCAUAUAAGAUGUUAGGAUCUAAUAAUAUUAUAUUAUUCUUUCCGGUCGAAA
rnacentral:lncRNA from 1 species